rnacentral:rRNA from 1 species
GUACACAAAAAUGCACAUACUGUGAGCUCGAUGAGUAGGGCGGGACACGUGGUAUCCUGUCUGAAUAUGGGGGGACCAUCCUCCAAGGCUAAAUACUCCUGACUGACCGAUAGUGAACCAGUACCGUGAGGGAAAGGCGAAAAGAACCCCGGCGAGGGGAGUGAAAAAGAACCUGAAACCGUGUACGUACAAGCAGUGGGAGCCUCUUAAUGGGGUGACUGCGUACCUUUUGUAUAAUGGGUCAGCGACUUAUAUUCUGUAGCAAGGUUAACCGAAUAGGGGAGCCGAAGGGAAACCGAGUCUUAACUGGGCGUUAAGUUGCAGGGUAUAGACCCGAAACCCGGUGAUCUAGCCAUGGGCAGGUUGAAGGUUGGGUAACACUAACUGGAGGACCGAACCGACUAAUGUUGAAAAAUUAGCGGAUGACUUGUGGCUGGGGGUGAAAGGCCAAUCAAACCGGGAGAUAGCUGGUUCUCCCCGAAAGCUAUUUAGGUAGCGCCUCGUGAAUUCAUCUCCGGGGGUAGAGCACUGUUUCGGCAAGGGGGUCAUCCCGACUUACCAACCCGAUGCAAACUGCGAAUACCGGAGAAUGUUAUCACGGGAGACACACGGCGGGUGCUAACGUCCGUCGUGAAGAGGGAAACAACCCAGACCGCCAGCUAAGGUCCCAAAGUCAUGGUUAAGUGGGAAACGAUGUGGGAAGGCCCAGACAGCCAGGAUGUUGGCUUAGAAGCAGCCAUCAUUUAAAGAAAGCGUAAUAGCUCACUGGUCGAGUCGGCCUGCGCGGAAGAUGUAACGGGGCUAAACCAUGCACCGAAGCUGCGGCAGCGACACUAUGUGUUGUUGGGUAGGGGAGCGUUCUGUAAGCCUGUGAAGGUGGCCUGUGAGGGUUGCUGGAGGUAUCAGAAGUGCGAAUGCUGACAUAAGUAACGAUAAAGCGGGUGAAAAGCCCGCUCGCCGGAAGACCAAGGGUUCCUGUCCAACGUUAAUCGGGGCAGGGUGAGUCGACCCCUAAGGCGAGGCCGAAAGGCGUAGUCGAUGGGAAACAGGUUAAUAUUCCUGUACUUGGUGUUACUGCGAAGGGGGGACGGAGAAGGCUAUGUUGGCCGGGCGACGGUUGUCCCGGUUUAAGCGUGUAGGCUGGUUUUCCAGGCAAAUCCGGAAAAUCAAGGCUGAGGCGUGAUGACGAGGCACUACGGUGCUGAAGUAACAAAUGCCCUGCUUCCAGGAAAAGCCUCUAAGCAUCAGGUAACAUCAAAUCGUACCCCAAACCGACACAGGUGGUCAGGUAGAGAAUACCAAGGCGCUUGAGAGAACUCGGGUGAAGGAACUAGGCAAAAUGGUGCCGUAACUUCGGGAGAAGGCACGCUGAUAUGUAGGUGAAGCGACUUGCUCGUGGAGCUGAAAUCAGUCGAAGAUACCAGCUGGCUGCAACUGUUUAUUAAAAACACAGCACUGUGCAAACACGAAAGUGGACGUAUACGGUGUGACGCCUGCCCGGUGCCGGAAGGUUAAUUGAUGGGGUUAGCGGUAACGCGAAGCUCUUGAUCGAAGCCCCGGUAAACGGCGGCCGUAACUAUAACGGUCCUAAGGUAGCGAAAUUCCUUGUCGGGUAAGUUCCGACCUGCACGAAUGGCGUAAUGAUGGCCAGGCUGUCUCCACCCGAGACUCAGUGAAAUUGAACUCGCUGUGAAGAUGCAGUGUACCCGCGGCAAGACGGAAAGACCCCGUGAACCUUUACUAUAGCUUGACACUGAACAUUGAGCCUUGAUGUGUAGGAUAGGUGGGAGGCUUUGAAGUGUGGACGCCAGUCUGCAUGGAGCCGACCUUGAAAUACCACCCUUUAAUGUUUGAUGUUCUAACGUUGGCCCGUAAUCCGGGUUGCGGACAGUGUCUGGUGGGUAGUUUGACUGGGGCGGUCUCCUCCUAAAGAGUAACGGAGGAGCACGAAGGUUGGCUAAUCCUGGUCGGACAUCAGGAGGUUAGUGCAAUGGCAUAAGCCAGCUUGACUGCGAGCGUGACGGCGCGAGCAGGUGCGAAAGCAGGUCAUAGUGAUCCGGUGGUUCUGAAUGGAAGGGCCAUCGCUCAACGGAUAAAAGGUACUCCGGGGAUAACAGGCUGAUACCGCCCAAGAGUUCAUAUCGACGGCGGUGUUUGGCACCUCGAUGUCGGCUCAUCACAUCCUGGGGCUGAAGUAGGUCCCAAGGGUAUGGCUGUUCGCCAUUUAAAGUGGUACGCGAGCUGGGUUUAGAACGUCGUGAGACAGUUCGGUCCCUAUCUGCCGUGGGCGCUGGAGAACUGAGGGGGGCUGCUCCUAGUACGAGAGGACCGGAGUGGACGCAUCACUGGUGUUCGGGUUGUCAUGCCAAUGGCACUGCCCGGUAGCUAAAUGCGGAAGAGAUAAGUGCUGAAAGCAUCUAAGCACGAAACUUGCCCCGAGAUGAGUUCUCCCUGACUCCUUGAGGGUCCUGAAGGAACGUUGAAGACGACGACGUUGAUAGGCCGGGUGUGUAAGCGCAGCGAUGCGUUGAGCUAACCGGUACUAAUGAACCGUGAGGCUUAACCUUACAACGCCGAAG